CUCUUCUUGUUAAAAGCACUGUGCUAAAAUUGCAGAAACCAAGGCUCAGCUUUAGUUUCUGCAGUAAUGCUAGUAGAGUAAAUGCAAGAAGAAGAAAAACUGCACUAGAUCAAAAAAGACUAGGGUGGACCUCUUUCUUAAUGUCCAGUGUCCUGUGUCUGAAGAUUGGUGCAACAGUU